rnacentral:rRNA from 1 species
GUAAAGAGCGGCGGACGGGUGAGUAACGCGUGGGUAACCUACCCUGUACACACGGAUAACAUACCGAAAGGUAUGCUAAUACGGGAUAAUAUAUUUGAGAGGCAUCUCUUAAAUAUCAAAGGUGAGCUAGUACAGGAUGGACCCGCGUCUGAUUAGCUAGUUGGUAAGGUAACGGCUUACCAAGGCGACGAUCAGUAGCCGACCUGAG